rnacentral:lncRNA from 1 species
AUGUUACAAAGGUAAAUUGUUUAACGACGAGUAUUUCUAAUUUUUUUUCAGUUAGAUCUACCAUGAGAUGAUAAAGAAGAGUAAGAGAUAUAAAAGAGAAAUGAUUGGGAGGAAUAAGGAAGGUGAGUAAAGGUUUGGGGGAAGAGUGAGAGAUAUAAAAGAGAAAUGAUUCAGAGGAACAAGGAAGGUGAAUAAGGGUUUGGGUGUUUUUUCUUUUUUAAAGUUUUGAGAAUGAAAGUUAUUCAGAUACUCUUAUUUUAAAACUUAAAAUUCAUAAUAUAUGAGAGUAUAUUUGUCUACUAUAACCCGAUACACAUUAUUAAAAUGUACCAACUUAAAAAAUCAAUAUAUAUAUAUAUAUAUAUAUAUAUAU